CCUACGGGAGGCAGCAGUGGGGGAUAUUGCACAAUGGGGGAAAGCCUGAUGCAGCGACGCCGCGAGAGGGAAGAAGGAUCUAGGGAUGGAAAGCUCUAUCAGCAGGGAAGAAAAAUACAGUACGUGACCGAGAAGCCACGUCUAACUACGUGCCAGCAGCGGCGGUAAUACGGAGGGGGCAAGCGUUAUCCGGAGUUACUGGGGGUAAAGGGGGCGUAGACGGUUAUGUAAGUCCGGAGUGAAAGCCCGAGGCUCAACCUCGGGACUGCUUUGGAAACUGUGUAUCUUGAGUACAGGAGGGGCAGGCGGAAUUCGUGGUGUAGCGGUGAAAUGCUUAGAUAUCAGGAGGAACUCCGGUGGCGAAGGCGGCCUGCUGGACUGCAACUGACGUUGAGGCUCGAAAGCGUGGGGAGCAAACAGGAUUAGAUACCCUAGUAGUC
rnacentral:rRNA from 1 species